rnacentral:SRP_RNA from 1 species
GAGGUUGGGAGAUGGACGCUAUUCUUGUAAAUCGGGUCAGGUCUGGAAAGAAGCAGCCCUAGCAAUGUUAUAGUGGGUCGUCUUUUCAGCCUCUCC